rnacentral:rRNA from 1 species
UACGUAGGGGGCUAGCGUUGUCCGGAUUUAUUGGGCGUAAAGAGCGUGUAGGCGGCCAGGUAGGUCUGCUGUGAAAACUCGAGGCUCAACCUCGAGACGUCGGCGGAAACCAUCUGGCUAGAGUCCGGAAGAGGAGAGUGGAAUUCCUGGUGUAGCGGUGAAAUGCGUAGAUAUCAAGAGGAACACCUGCGGCGAAGGCGGGUUGCUGGGCCGACACUGACGCUGAGGCGCGAAAGCUAGGGGAGCGAACGGG